rnacentral:lncRNA from 1 species
GGGAAACUCAUCAUAUAUAAUUUCGUCAUUAUGCUCUGGAUACUUGUUUGACCAUAAACAGUUUCUGUCCAGCUACCGUAAACAUGGUAAACUUUUAAGAAGGUUCGUUUGACAAAGUCGUGAAUAUCUUAAAACUUUAACCACAUAAUAAACCUACAUGUACAAAUGUACAUAGUUAUAAUAUUGGCACCGCCGACGAAAUUUAGGGUCAAAAUGUCUGGCUUUCGCGACAUAAAUGUCAAUGGCUCGACAAUAAAUGCAAACCACAUAUCGAAUCUUAGCACAUAUUAAUGAAUUGCUUUAAAAAAAAAAAGGAAAGUGAGUAUAGAAUUCACGAUAGAUUUAGACUGACAGAAAAAGAACAAAUAUAUAAUAUGA